GUUAUAAGUUAUGUAUUAUUAGAAUCAGGGUUGUGGGUUAUAUCACCACAUGCAACACUAGAUUCACUACUCCUUAAUUUUCCAAAACAUCUUUUGUCAAGAAUGCAGAAUUGAAGCAGAAACAGAGGCAAGUUGGUAGAACUGGAGUACAUACAGUUGCAGAAUUAAAAGUAUCAGAAUUGGCAAGGUAACAAUGGCAUACCUGUAUAGAAUUGAGCUAUAUACAGGCAGCAGGUAAUGUGACAGUGUCGUUUU